ACUUACGACCAUACCACCCUGAAUGUGCCCGAUCUCGUCGGAUCUCGGAAGCUAAGCAGGGUCAGGCCUGGUUAGUACUUGAAUGGGUGACCGCCUGGGAAUACCAGGUGCUGUAAGCU
ensembl:rRNA 5S_rRNA 5S ribosomal RNA